UGUACGGAGAAGGCAUGUAAAUGCUUGAAAGGACGUUGGCCGGCAAGCAGGGCCUGCAGCACAGACCCUGCUACACGAGGCUCUCCUCGAUGCGCUGCUCCAAGAGAUUUCUUUGUUGCUCACACAACUUAAAAGAGAAAGAAGAGCCCACAGCCACCACCAGGAUCCAACACCAAGAUUUUGAAAAUGGAAAACAGGGAAACAAUGACGAAGGAUGUAAACCUCCUAUGGAAUAACCAACCAGAACAAUGUAGGUGAACCUAAAACCACUUAAGAAGAGUCAAGUUCUUCUCCAAUCUGCCAUGCCUCAGAUGCUUGCUGGAUAGAGAGCAAUCACAAAGUAUACCGCCCCAGCCUGGUAGAAACCAGCAGA